AUGAGGCACUGGAGAGGGCCUUUUCCUCCUCCUGUGAAAGAUAUCGAAUCGAAGAUCAUCGAGGACGGUCAGAUCGGUAGGUCGAGGUGCUUCGGAUUCGUUACCAGCAACAUGCGAAUGCGAUCCAAGGAGGCCAGAACCUUGAUUUGAGGGUUAGUGUUCUUCUCCAAUGUUAGAGCGGGUGUUCUUUUGCGAUCUUUGUGUUAGCUAAUUUUAUAUUGCGAUGUUAGGGUUAGCUAGCGCUCUUUUUCCAUUGCGAUAUUAGCGUUGUUUUGCGAUUGCUAGGGUUAGAUAACUUUCUUUUGUGGUUGCAAUGGUAGGGUUAAUUAGCGUUCUUUGCGAUUGCAGUGUUAGGGUUAGCUAGUGUUCUUUUGCGAUUGCGAUGUUAGGGCGAGCUAGUGUUCUUCCGUGAUGUUAGUGUUUUUCUGUAUAAAUGAUAGAGGGGCUUUGCAUGUAUCAGGUGUGGCUUUUUGCAAUGUUGUUUAUAAACCGUGGCCCAUAGACUUAAGUGAAAAUAAUGUCGUUUGUUGCAGACAUCUGGUCUUUUUGGUUGUGGUGCCCUUGCUCAUGUUGGUGUGAUGGACUUGCAGUGGUUCCCACGAAUGUACCAUAG
rnacentral:lncRNA from 1 species